CUCAGCGCUGGAACGAGUGCUCAGUUUAGCCUCCAAAGGCCCUUGUUGUUUCUCAAGUGUCUUCAAUGUUCCGAGAGGUGCGUUAAGUGGAUUGUAAUGAGACUUUUAGUUCUGUGAAGUGGCAGUGAUGAAAUUUCGAGUGAUGAAGGGAUUUUUGACCUCUUGAGGUGUCAGUUCACGGAACCGCCACGACUCGUCCCGAAGAUAUCCCUCUGGGAACAGGCAGGCGCCGACGGGUUGUGUUUGAAGGAGUCUGUGAUGCAUACAGUAACGAUGUAAAAACAAGGGAGAGAAGGAAGGAGUCAAGGCAGUGGUGCAACGACUCUCGGGGUCAUGCUCCGGUCACUGACAUCUCCAACGUUGCCCUCCAACGUUGGUCAAAGAAAAGAGGGAAUAACUCUUUCUCAUCGUCCCUCUACCUUCCUCAGCCAUUGGUCAUGGUAAAUCCAACUUUGCCCUUCUCCUUUUGUAACCAUUCACGAUGUUGAGGGUCAUCCUCACAGUGGACCAGCAAAAGUCCAACUGGAGUAUUUUGGGUGCAGCUCAACUCAGGGAUAAAGCCCAAAUUGUGGUUUCAUAAUCGAUGAAAGAGCUUUCGUUAUGUCAAACUAUGCUGUUACCCAGUUAGUUAAGAGUUACCGAGGUUACUGAGUUCAGUGAUAAGACGGAGCAAGUUUUGAUGGCUGUGGUUUAACGUGGUUAGGUCAUUUCGACAAUUUCGACAUGAUCAUUCCUGGUUUAGUCCUGACAGCAGAUGAAUUUGACGGCUUUCGUGAGUACUCGCUGUUGCCAAGCCGCACCAUAUCUCCCAGUAUCUUCAGACCAACGUUUGAUUAACGGAAAAUUAAAGAUUUGUUACUUCCUACAGGAAUGAUCGAACGAGUACACGUUAAUUCGGUGGGUACUAAUCAACUUGAUGUCAUUCUCAAACACAACUAGCAAUCAUUUACCGGAAAAUUUCAAUUACUCAAUAAUCCAUCAUGUCGAGAGCACUAAGUACCUUGUCAGCCUUCAGUUCAAUUUAUUAACGUGUGUAAUAUUGCCAGAGAUUUUUCUUUGUUCUACAUCAGCUUCUCUCGCUCCCUCGGCCCAUAUGAAUAGCCACAUUAGCAUAAAUAAAUCAGUAUAAAUGUCGUGUUGGCCUUGUCAACAUUUGCCAAUCAAACAAGAAAACCAAUGGACCAGAACGCCUCUAAUUGUUGAACAAGUGUAACGACUACUGAGGAUCAGAAUUACCAUGAGGUCUCAAUGACUUCAGCCCAAGAAUCGCAUCAGAGAUCACGUCUGGCUGAAUUUCACUUGAGAAAAAGUCAAGAUAAUACCGAAAAGCAGUCUCAUUUUUCUUUUUUUUUACCCGAGGGCUUUUCCCAUCGUUUGUUUGAGUCGAGAUGCGAUGCUAGAAGCCCCAGCUGAGGACGAGGGGAAGGGAAGAACGGCGAUGAAGAAGGAUAAUCCGCCUUGACGGAACGACUAGCACCGGUUGAAUCGAGAUCAGCGCGAGCGUUAUAUACAUCGGUUGGGUUUUUGAAUUUGUAGGGGUGAAGGAGGUGGCACUGGAAUGGUGGUAGCAGAAACAGUUUGUGAGUGGAGAUCGUCAAAAGCAUCAAAAGGUGCCUUUACCAUUGUCGCCUUAAACCAUACUUAUCGUUAGUACGAAACUCCUAAUUGGAGUUGCGAAACUACGUUCUUCUUCAGUCAGCGGAAUACCUUUAUUCAAGUUAGU